AACAAAACGCAAAUACAUAUUGGAUACCACACUUAAUAAAAUGGACGUUCACCAUGACUGGCCCUCAACGUAACAGUAUAGAAUACUACUUGAAUAUGGGGUGGCAGGUAGCCUAGUGGUUAGAGUGUAGAGGGGGCAGGUAGCCUAGUGGUUAGAGUGGAGGGGCGGCAGGUAGCCUAGUGGUUAGAGUGGAGGGGCGGCAGGUAGCCUAGUGGUUAGAGUGGAGGGGUGGCAGGUAGCCUAGUGGUUAGAGUGGAGGGACGGCUGGUAGCCUAGUGGUUAGAGUGGAGGGGCGGCAGGUCGUCUAGUGGUUAGAGUGUAGGGGUGGCAGGUCGUCUAGUGGUUAGAGUGGAGGGGUGGCAGGUCGUCUAGUGGUUAGAGUGGAGGGGCGGCAGGUAGCCUAGUGGUUAGAGUGGAGGGACGGCUGGUAGCCUAGUGGUUAGAGUGGAGGGGCGGCAGGUAGCCUAGUGGUUAGAGUGGAGGGGCGGCAGGUAGCCUAGUGGUUAGAGUGGAGGGGCGGCAGGUAUCCUAGUGGUUAGAGUGGAGGGGCGGCAGGUAGCCUAGUGGUUAGAGUGGAGGGGCGGCUGGUAGCCUAGUGGUUAGAGUGGAGGGGCGGCAGGUAGCCUAGUGGUUAGAGUGGAGGGGCGGCAGGUAGCCUAGUGGUUAGAGUGGAGGGGCGGCAGGUAUCCUAGUGGUUAGAGUGGAGGGGCGGCAGGUAUCCUAGUGGUUAGAGUGGAGGGGCGGCAGGUAUCCUAGUGGUUAGAGUGGAGGGGCGGCAGGUAUCCUAGUGGUUAGAGUGGAGGGGCGGCAGGUAGCCUAGUGGUUAGAGUGGAGGGGCGGCAGGUAUCCUAGUGGUUAGAGUGGAGGGGCGGCAGGUAUCCUAGUGGUUAGAGUGGAGGGGCGGCAGGUAUCCUAGUGGUUAGAGUGGAGGGGCGGCAGGUAUCCUAGUGGUUAGAGUGGAGGGGCGGCAGGUAUCCUAGUGGUUAGAGUGGAGGGGCGGCAGGUAUCCUAG